GGAUGUGUGCAUGGCAGCUGGCGCCCCCACCUUGGCUACGCCCAUGGGGACGAUGCUUCAGUAUCCUGUAUCUUGACUGUUGGACUUCAGACUUGGCUACUUGGAUUGACCAUGGACUGCGUUUCCUGACCUUUGGACUUUGCUUGCGUGACUUGACCCUCGGACUUUCAACUUGACAUACUGACUUGCUGCCAGGGGGAAUCAGGCCUUGUGUGAGCAGAAUGCUGUCCAGUCUGGACACUGAGUUGGAGCUCUCUUGAGAUUCUGAAAUUCUGGCCUGCCUUGCUCGAUUGUGCCCCAAGUGAAGACGUCAGCAAGGGUAAGCAAAGUCAAUCCAUUGCCUUCAUGCCUGUUGAAUAGGAAACAUCCCUGUUGAAGAGGUAACCAGGCUAACGAUCCAUAUUUUGCCAUGCUGUGAAAUUUAUGUUAUUGCAGUACAGUGUGGCAAAAAUAAAAAGGUGUUGGUCUGGUUGGCUUGUUAACAGGGAUGUGUCCCUCCCCCCCAAAAAAUCCAUUCAGACCAAGGGAUAGGCCUGCAAAAACAUAAUUUCACCCCCUUUUGUAAGGUCCUUUGAAAGGUCACCAAAGGGGAGGCUCAUGUAAUGGCUUGAAUAAGCUUUUAGCAGAAAGCAUCAAAAUGCCUUUUUGGCACAGCAUUCAUUUCAAGUGAAAUCUUGAAUAAAAUUACCUCUUCAAUAGGCUCUGAAAGUAGAAUGGGGCCAGUUCAAAGAACAGUGGUGUAUAAUGAGUUCAUUGUUUGGAAAGGGAAUAGUUGAGGCAAUUACAAGCCUUACUGAAAUGUAGAGAUGUAUACUGGCCUUCCUUUUCCACAUUUAGCACCUCUUAUUCUAUGAUAGAAAUAACUCAUACUGCAAGAGAUCAGUUUGUUUUUCCUAAAGGAAAAGCAAAAGCAAAUCUCAACCAAAAAUUA